GGCCUAUUAGCUUAGUUGAUUAGAGUGUCGUGCUAAUAACACGAAACUCGGAGGUUCGAAACCUACAUGGGCCA
rnacentral:tRNA from 1 species